rnacentral:rRNA from 1 species
GACCAGACUCCUACGGGAGGCAGCAGUGAGGAAUAUUGGUCAAUGGACGCAAGUCUGAACCAGCCAUGCCGCGUGCAGGAAGACGGCUCUAUGAGUUGUAAACUGCUUUUGUACGAGGGUAAAUGCAGGUACGUGUAUCUGUUUGAAAGUAUCGUACGAAUAAGCAUCGGCUAACUCCGUGCCAGCAGCCGCGGUAAUACGGGGGAUGCAAGCGUUGUCCGGAAUCAUUGGGCGUAAAGAGUUCGUAGGUGGCACGUUAAGUCUGGUGUUAAAUGCAGAGGCUCAACCUCUGUUCGGCGCUGGAUACUGGCGAGCUUGAAUGCGGUAGAGGUAAAGGGAAUUCCUGGUGUAGCGGUGAAAUGCGUAGAUAUCAGGAGGAACAUCGGUGGCGUAAGCGCUUUACUGGGCCGUAAUUGACACUGAGGAACGAAAGCCAGGGUAGCAAAUGGGAUUAGAUACCCCAGUAUA